rnacentral:miRNA from 1 species
CUUCCAUAUCUGGGGAGCUUC